UACGUAGGGUGCGAGCGUUAAUCGGAAUUACUGGGCGUAAAGCGUGCGCAGGCGGUUCGUGAUGUCUGAUGUGAAAGCCCCGGGCUCAACCUGGGAAUUGCAUUGGAAACUAGCGGGCUGGAGUGUGGCAGAGGGGGGGUGGAAUUCCACGUGUAGCAGUGAAAUGCGUAGAGAUGUGGAGGAACACCGAUGGCGAAGGCAGCCCCCCUGGGCUAACACUGACGCUCAUGCACGAAAGCGUGGGGAGCAAACAGG
rnacentral:rRNA from 1 species